GCCAGGCGUGGUGGCUCACGCCUGUAAUCCCAGCACUUUGGGAGGCCGAGGCAGGUGGAUCACCUGAAGUCAGGAGUUCAAGACCAGCCUGACCAACAUGGUGAAACCCUGUCUCUU
ensembl:misc_RNA Metazoa_SRP Metazoan signal recognition particle RNA